GUCUACAGCCACAUCACCCUGAAUAUGCCCAAUCUUGUCUGAUCUCAGUAGCUAAGCAGGGCCAGGCCUGGUUAGUAUUUGGAUGGGAGAAAUCUGAAUGUGAGAUCUGGCACUGCU
ensembl:rRNA 5S_rRNA 5S ribosomal RNA